rnacentral:lncRNA from 1 species
AUGAACAUAAUGAUUAAUAGUAUCAUGGCAGCACUAUUAUUUGGCCAUUGCUGCUGGGCAGGAUGUGACAAGUGUGAUGGCUUGCAAGGCUAUGGUGUACACAGAAGAGUGAUUUCAUUCAAACAAGAAGUUGUUGCUAGGGGCUUGAGAGUGAACUGGACUCUGAAGAGGCACGCGGAGAGAGGCAGCAUCAGGAGAGGAUGA